rnacentral:rRNA from 1 species
AUGGCGGAGGACGGCGAGGAGAAGCUGCUGGCCACGGUGCAGCACAUCGCCAAGACCCUGGGCCGCACCGGCACCAUGACGGAGGACAUACUCAAGGUCUUCUCCAACUACGACGGCCGCCUCUCCCUCGACAAGCUCUACGCCGCGGCGGCCGCUGCCGGUGGAGGAGGAGGAGGAGGGGGGGCCGGGGAGCACUCGAUGUCGAUGCCGGCCUCCUCGCCCCCGCCCGUGCUGCCCUCGGCCGCGGCGGCGCACUCGAUGCCGGCGCCGGUCACGUCGCUGGAGCGGACCGUGCGCACCCUGGACCGGCAGAUCUCGCAGUUCGUGACCAUGGAGAGGCUCGUCUGGGCCGACUCCGCCGACGCCGACGCCUUCCUGGAGGCGGUGGACGACCUCAUCGGCACCGUGCAGGAGCUGGACGCGGUGGGGACCAACCGCGGCCUGCUCGACCGCGCCGACGAGCUGCUCAGCCGUUGCAUGGCCCGGCUGGAGGACGAGUUCCGGGCGCUUAUCGAGCGCCCCGACGGCGCGGCCCCGGCGGCGCCCGGCGGGUUCGACUCCGAGCAGAGCGACGACGAGGACUACGAUGCGGACGACGGCUAUGGCGACGAGCCAAUCCCUAUCGCCAAGCCGGUCACGGACUUCGACGUGGUCAUCGACGCCCUGCCCCCGGGGUCCGUCUCCGACGUGCACCAGAUCGCGCGGAGGAUGGUGGACGCGGGCUUCGGCCGCGAGUGCGCCGAGGCCUACGCGGCCGCGCGCCGCGGGUUCAUCGACGAGAGCGUCGCGCGCCUCGGCAUCCGCUCGCGCACCUCGGACGAGGUCCACUCCUUGCCCUGGGAGGAGCUCGAGUUCGACAUUGCCCGGUGGAUCCCGGCCUUCAAGAUGGUGUUCCGCAUCCUCAUCCCCAGCGAGCGCCGCCUCUCCGACCGUGUCUUCGAGGGCCUCGCCCCCUACGGCGACCUCGCCUUCGUCGCCGCGGUUCGCACCCAGGCGCUGCAGCUCAUCUCGUUCGGCGACGCGGUUGCCGCUGCGAGCCGCGCGCCGGAGCGCCUCUUUCGUGUCAUCGACAUGUACGAGGCGGUGCGCGAUCUCCUCCCUGACCUGGACCCUGUUUUCGCCGACCCCUACUCCGCAGCGCUUCGCGCCGAGGUCUCUGCUGUAUGCAACACUCUCGGCUCCUCCAUCAAAGGUAUAUUCAUGGAGCUGGAGAAUCUUAUCCGCCGUGACCCGGCCCGCGUUGCGGUGCCCGGCGGCGGUAUACACCCAAUCACUCGCUAUGUCAUGAACUAUCUCCGUGCGGCAUGUGGUUCGAGACAGACGCUAGAAGAGGUGAUGGAAGGUGACUUGGGUGCUCUUGGCGUGACCGCCAUUGCCGUCGAUCCUGACCGCCCCACUUCGUCGCUUGCUGUGCACAUUGCGUGGAUCAUGGACGUGCUUCACAAGAAUCUAGAGAGCAAAUCCAAGAUAUACAGGGACCCGCCACUGGCCUCCAUCUUCUUGAUGAAUAAUGGCAAGUACGUCAUCCACAAGGUGAAUGACAGUGAGCUUGGGGUUUUACUCGGUGAUGACUGGAUGAAGCAGAUGUUAAGCCGAGUGCGCCGGUGGAGUAUGGAGUACCAGCGCGGGGCUUGGGCGAAGGUGAUGUCGGUGCUGCAGACCGGAGGCUCUGGCUUUUCUGGUCUCCCACCGAAGGCCAUGCUUCAGAAACUUCAGAUGUUCAAUGGCUACUUGGAGGAGAUUCGGGCGGCGCAGUCCGAGUGGGUGAUCACAGAUGAUCAGCUGCGCGCCGAUGUUAAGGCAGCAAUAGCAGAUUCGGUGCUGCCUGCAUAUAAGGGCUUGAUUGCUAGGCUGAGAUCGUCUCCAGAUGCUCCGCAGGAUUUGUUCAUCAAGCAUACCCCAGAGGAUGUUGAGGCAUGCAUCCAACAUUUGUUUGAAGGAAUUGGGAAAUGA